rnacentral:rRNA from 1 species
ACUCCUACGGGAGGCAGCAGUGGGGAAUUUUGGACAAUGGGGGCAACCCUGAUCCAGCCAUGCCGCGUGAGUGAAGAAGGCCUUCGGGUUGUAAAGCUCUUUCGGACGGAACGAAAUGGUUACGGCGAACACCUGUGACUGAUGACGGUACCGUAAGAAGAAGCACCGGCUAACUACGUGCCAGCAGCCGCGGUAAUACGUAGGGUGCGAGCGUUAAUCGGAAUUACUGGGCGUAAAGCGUGCGCAGGCGGUUUCGUAAGCUGGAGGUGAAAUCCCCGGGCUCAACCUGGGAAUGGCCUUCAGGACUGCGAGGCUAGAGUGCGGCAGAGGGAGGUGGAAUUCCACGUGUAGCAGUGAAAUGCGUAGAUAUGUGGAGGAACACCGAUGGCGAAGGCAGCCUCCUGGGCCAGCACUGACGCUCAUGCACGAAAGCGUGGGGAGCAAACAGGAUUAGAUACCCUGGUAGUCCACGCCCUAAACGAUGUCAACUAGGUGUUGGGGAA